rnacentral:rRNA from 1 species
UACAGAGGGUGCGAGCGUUAAUCGGAUUUACUGGGCGUAAAGCGUGCGUAGACGGUUAUGUAAGUCAGAUGUGAAAGCCCCGGGCUCAACCUGGGAAUUGCAUUUGAGACUGCAUAGCUAGGAUGCGGAAGAGGGAAGUGGAAUUUCCGGUGUAGCAGUGAAAUGCGUAGAUAUCGGAAGGAACAUCAGUGGCGAAAGCGACUUCCUGGUCCAGCAUCGACGUUCAGGCACGAAAGCGUGGGGAGCAAACAGG